CUAAAGUUUGAUUCAUUAUUUUUAAUAGUGAAAAUGCAAUUUCCUCUAAAAAAAAUGUAAUUUCCUCAAUUAAAAUGAAAAUACUCCUCCGUCUUCUAGCCAUGUUCAUCCAGAAAACCAAUUAAAAACCCCAUGAAUCCAUAAAAUUCCUUCAUUUCCUACGCAACCUUGCAUGGAUAACAUCUUUUAUAUACACCAAAAAUUCGAGUUUCAGUGGAUGUCAAAUCAACAAUAAGAAAAAAAGAAAAAAUCUAUUUGACAGGAAGGGAGGGAAAGAGGGUCAAGACUCAAGAAACAGUCACCCCAUUGUGGCCAUUACCGUUAAAAGGACAGAACCUGGUAAGCUUGGGCUUGAAGUUCCUUCUUCUUUGAAUAUCAUGGCUUGAUGGCUUGAUUAUUUGCAUGAGAAACGCCUUUAUAAGGCUGCACUUGAAUGAGCCUGGAUGGGUGGUGGGUGAGCAGAGGCACGCACGUCUUGUUGAAGAAGAUGAGUUAUUCUUGGUGGCCAUUGAAAUGAGCUAAUGUGUCUGUCUCUGUUUCUUUAUCUUUUAUAUUCAUGGAAUUUUUUUUAAGCUAAAGCUGCUUUUUUUUUUUUUUUAAUUUAUAUAUAUAAAGCUGGUAGCUGAAAAUUGAGUGUGUAGGUGUGAAGGGUUUCUGUUGCUGUUGUAUGUUAUUGAAGGGGAUUGCAUCAUCUAAUUUACCCUUGUCUUUUCCUCAUGCCUUUGCA